UACGGAGGGUGCAAACGUUGCUCGGAAUCAUUGGGCGUAAAGCGCACGUAGGCGGUCCAGUAAGUCGGGUGUGAAAUCCCUCGGCUCAACCGAGGAAGUGCAUUCGAAACUACUGAACUUGAGUAUGGAAGAGGGUCGCGGAAUUCCCGGUGUAGAGGUGAAAUUCGUAGAUAUCGGGAGGAACACCAGUGGCGAAGGCGGCGACCUGGGCCAAUACUGACGCUGAGGUGCGAAAGCGUGGGGAGCAAACAGG
rnacentral:rRNA from 1 species